rnacentral:rRNA from 1 species
CUAAUACAUGCAAGUCGUACGCUUCUUUUUCCACCGGAGCUUGCUCCACCGGAAAAAGAAGAGUGGCGAACGGGUGAGUAACACGUGGGUAACCUGCCCAUCAGAAGGGGAUAACACUUGGAAACAGGUGCUAAUACCGUAUAACAAUCGAAACCGCAUGGUUUUGAUUUGAAAGGCGCUUUCGGGUGUCGCUGAUGGAUGGACCCGCGGUGCAUUAGCUAGUUGGUGAGGUAACGGCUCACCAAGGCCACGAUGCAUAGCCGACCUGAGAGGGUGAUCGGCCACAUUGGGACUGAGACACGGCCCAAACUCCUACGGGAGGCAGCAGUAGGGAAUCUUCGGCAAUGGACGAAAGUCUGACCGAGCAACGCCGCGUGAGUGAAGAAGGUUUUCGGAUCGUAAAACUCUGUUGUUAGAGAAGAACAAGGAUGAGAGUAACUGUUCAUCCCUUGACGGUAUCUAACCAGAAAGCCACGGCUAACUACGUGCCAGCAGCCGCGGUAAUACGUAGGUGGCAAGCGUUGUCCGGAUUUAUUGGGCGUAAAGCGAGCGCAGGCGGUUUCUUAAGUCUGAUGUGAAAGCCCCCGGCUCAACCGGGGAGGGUCAUUGGAAACUGGGAGACUUGAGUGCAGAAGAGGAGAGUGGAAUUCCAUGUGUAGCGGUGAAAUGCGUAGAUAUAUGGAGGAACACCAGUGGCGAAGGCGGCUCUCUGGUCUGUAACUGACGCUGAGGCUCGAAAGCGUGGGGAGCAAACAGGAUUAGAUACCCUGGUAGUCCACGCCGUAAACGAUGAGUGCUAAGUGUUGGAGGGUUUCCGCCCUUCAGUGCUGCAGCUAACGCAUUAAGCACUCCGCCUGGGGAGUACGACCGCAAGGUUGAAACUCAAAGGAAUUGACGGGGGCCCGCACAAGCGGUGGAGCAUGUGGUUUAAUUCGAAGCAACGCGAAGAACCUUACCAGGUCUUGACAUCCUUUGACCACUCUAGAGAUAGAGCUUCCCCUUCGGGGGCAAAGUGACAGGUGGUGCAUGGUUGUCGUCAGCUCGUGUCGUGAGAUGUUGGGUUAAGUCCCGCAACGAGCGCAACCCUUAUUGUUAGUUGCCAUCAUUUAGUUGGGCACUCUAGCAAGACUGCCGGUGACAAACCGGAGGAAGGUGGGGAUGACGUCAAAUCAUCAUGCCCCUUAUGACCUGGGCUACACACGUGCUACAAUGGGAAGUACAACGAGUCGCGAAGUCGCGAGGCUAAGCUAAUCUCUUAAAGCUUCUCUCAGUUCGGAUUGUAGGCUGCAACUCGCCUACAUGAAGCCGGAAUCGCUAGUAAUCGCGGAUCAGCACGCCGCGGUGAAUACGUUCCCGGGCCUUGUACACACCGCCCGUCACACCACGAGAGUUUGUAACACCCGAAGUCGGUGAGGUAACCUUUUGGAGCCAGCCGCCUAAG